rnacentral:lncRNA from 8 species
AUGGAAAGGGGCUGGGAGGGAGGGAGAGAGAAGAGUCAGAGAGAGAGAGCGAGAGAGAGCGAAGAGUCAGAGAGCGAAGAGUCAGAGAGCGAGAGAGAGCGAGAGAGAGCAAAGAGUCAGAGAGCGAAGAGUCAGAGAGCGAAGAGAGCGAGAGAGAGCGAAGAGUCAGAGAGCGAGAGAGAGCGAGAGCGAGAAGAGCGAGAGCGAGAAGAGCGAGAGCGAGAAGAGCGAGAAGAGCGAGAGAGAGCGAGCGAGAAGAGCGAGAGAGAGCGAGCGAGCGAGAAGAGUCAGAGAGAGCGAGCGAGCGAGAAGAGUCAGAGCGAGCGAGAAGAGUCAGAGCGAGCGAGCGAGCGAGCGAGAAGAGUCAGAGCGAGCGAGCGAGAAGAGUCAGAGCGAGCGAGAAGAGUCAGAGCGAGCGAGCGAGCGAGAAGAGUCAGAGCGAGCGAGAAGAGUCAGAGCGAGCGAGCGAGAAGAGUCAGAGCGAGCGAGCGAGCGAGAAGAGUCAGAGCGAGCGAGAAGAGUCAGAGCGAGCGAGAAGAGUCAGAGCGAGCGAGAAGAGUCAGAGAGAGCGAGCGAGCGAGAAGAGUCAGAGAGAGCGAGCGAGAAGUCAGAGCGAGCGAGAAGAGUCAAAGCGAGCGAGAAGAGUCAGAGCGAGCGAGAAGAGUCAGAGCGAGCGAGCGAGAAGAGUCAGAGAGAGCGAGCGAGAGAGAAGAGUCAGAGAGAGCGAGCGAGAGAGAAGAGUCAGAGCGAGCGAGCAGAGUCAGAGAGAGCGAGCGAGCAGAGUCAGAGAGAGCGAGCGAGAGAGAAGAGUCAGAGAGAGCGAGCGAGAGAGAAGAGUCAGAGAGAGCGAGCGAGAGAGAAGAGUCAGAGAGAGCGAGCGAGAGAGAAGAGUCAGAGAGAGCGAGCGAGAGAGAAGAGUCAGAGAGAGAGAGACGAGCGAGAAGAGUCAGAGUGAGCGAGCGAGAGAGAAGAGUCAGAGAGAGCGAGCGAGCGAGAGAGAAGAGUCAGAGCGAGAGAGAAGAGUCAGAGCGAGAGAGAGAAGAGUCAGAGCGAGAGAGAGAAGAGUCAGAGCGAGAGAGAGAAGAGUCAGAGCGAGAGAGAGAAGAGUCAGAGCGAGAGAAAGAGGCAGAGAGAAGAGAAGAGGCAGAGAGAGAGAGAGAGAGAGAGAGAGAGAGAAGAGAAGAGAGAGAGAAGAGACAGAGAGAGAGAAGAGACAGAGAGAGAGAAGAGGCUGAGAGAGAGAAGAGGCUGAGAGAGGAGGGAGCGAAGAUGCUGAGAGAGGAGGGAGAGAGAAAAGAGGCUGAGAGAGGAGGCUGA